GCUGGCGGCAGGCCUAACACAUGCAAGUCGAACGCUCGUAGCAAUACGAGAGUGGCAGACGGGUGAGUAACGCGUGGGAACCUUCCCAGUGGUACGGAAUAGCUCAGGGAAACUUGAGGUAAUACCGUAUACGCCCUUCGGGGGAAAGAUUUAUCGCCAUUGGAUGGGCCCGCGUAGGAUUAGCUAGUUGGUGAGGUAACGGCUCACCAGGGCGACGAUCCUUAGCUGGUCUGAGAGGAUGAUCAGCCACACUGGGACUGAGACACGGCCCAGACUCCUACGGGAGGCAGCAGUGGGGAAUAUUGGACAAUGGGCGCAAGCCUGAUCCAGCCAUGCCGCGUGAGUGUCGAAGGCCUUAGGGUUGUAAAGCUCUUUUGGCGGGGAAGAUAAUGACGGUACCCGCAGAAUAAGCUCCGGCUAACUUCGUGCCAGCAGCCGCGGUAAUACGAAGGGAGCUAGCGUUGUUCGGAAUCACUGGGCGUAAAGCGCACGUAGGCGGAUGUGUCAGUCAGGGGUGAAAUCCCGGAGCUCAACUUCGGAACUGCCCUUGAUACAGCACGUCUUGAGUCCGAUAGAGGUGGGUGGAAUUCCUAGUGUAGAGGUGAAAUUCGUAGAUAUUAGGAAGAACACCGGUGGCGAAGGCGGCCCACUGGAUCGGUACUGACGCUGAGGUGCGAAAGCG
rnacentral:rRNA from 1 species